AUUGAACGCUGGCGGCAGGCCUAACACAUGCAAGUCGAGCGAGCGGCGGACGGGUGAGUAAUGUAUGGGGACUGCCCGAUAGAGGGGGAUAACUACUGGAAACGGUAGCUAAUACCGCAUACUAUCGGAUAACCCAUAUGGGAUUAGCUAGUAGGUGAGGUAAUGGCUCACCUAGGCGACGAUCCCUAGCUGGUCUGAGAGGAUGAUCAGCCAAACUGGGAGUGAGACAGGUCCCAGACCCCGACGGGGGCAGCAGUGGGAAAUAUUGCCAAAGGGGCGAAAGCCUUAUGCAGCCAUCCCGCGUGUAGGAAGAAGGCCCUAGGGUUGUAAAGUCCUUCAGUCUGGAGGCGUUACCGACAGAAGAAGCACCGGCUAACUCCGUGCCAGCAGCCGCGGUAAUAC
rnacentral:rRNA from 1 species